UGUAAGUACACGUGUAUGUUGUAUCAGUUAGUUAGUUACACGUAGCUAAGAUACUGUCAUCAAUGUACUGAGCAUGUUCAGGAAUGCAGGAACUGAAAUCACAUUCCUUUCUCCUUUGUUUCGGAUGAGCCAUGUGGUCUGCCCAUAUAAGGAAAUCCAGAUCCUGUCCACCGAUUGGUUAAGGGUAUGUUGCAGGUGGAGCUAUUAAU